rnacentral:lncRNA from 1 species
AUGAACGAAGAUUGGAGCGUGUUGCCAGACCCACCACACCCCUGUCUGGGCCCAGGCUCGGGGACAGUGGGCUCAGGCCGGCUGCUGGAACCAAGGAGCUGGGGCACAAGAUGUGGCCUGUCCCGGGCUUUGCCUGCCUGCCCAGGGGUGGAGGUGCAGAGACAAAUCAAGCCCCCUCGAUGUGGCCACAGGCACAUCUGCUCCAUUGACAAGGUGGCCACUGGUUGCCACAACAACACUCCUGGCCCCAGAAGAAUGUACUGGAGACAACAGGAGAACUCUGCAGCCGCCCCGAGCUCAGCCCCCAAGAUGCAAGCCGCCUCUAACCCAGAGAAAGCGUCACACCACACGCUUGUGUGUGCGCACACACAGACCCACAGUCGCACGUGGACACUGACCAAGAGACCCAGAGGGCCCUGCGCACACCCAGAGGGCCCUAUGCACACCCAGAGGGCUCUACACACACCCAGAGGGCCCUGCACACACCCAGAGGGCUCUACACACACCCAGAGGGCCCUGCACACACCCAGAGGGCCCUGCACACACCCAGAGGGCUCUACACACACCCAGAGGGCCCUGCACACACCCAGAGGGCUCUACACACACCCAGAGGGCCCUGCACACACCCAGAGGGCCCUGCACACACCCAGAGGGCCCUACACACACCCAGAGGGCUCUACACACACCCAGAGGGCCCUGCACACACCCAGAGGGCCCUACACACACCCAGAGGGCCCUGCACACACCCAGAGGGCCCUAUGCACACCUAGAGGGCCCUGCAUGGCCAAGGGAGUGACCAGGCACUCACAAAGGGGAAGUGUAAACACACACCCACCAUCCCAGAGCCUCAGACAGAGCCCACAAGAGCCCCUGAGAGACACAGAGAGGCCACCACAAGGGGUACAGGGUCACACUCACAAGAUGCACACUUUCCCAGAAGCCAGCCACAGACCAGCAGCCUGUGUCAUCUGGGAGGCCAUGGCUUGCCAUCACCUGCUUGGCAGCAGGCCCCCCCCCCGUGUGUGUGUGUGUGUGUGUGUGUGCCCGCGCCUGUGUGCUGGGUGCGUGGGCAGGCUGCGAGUAGAGGCGCAUGUUGGAGGGACACCCAGCACCAUCUCCUCAGGAGGCCACCCUGAGACAGGAGAGGCUUGA